GCCGGACGAUGCAAUUGUUAUCCGGAAUCACUGGGCGUAAAGCGUCUGUAGGUGGUCAAAUAAAUCAACUGUUAAAUCUUGAGGCUCAACCUCAAAAUCGCAGUCGAAACUAUUAGACUAGAGUAUAGUAGGGGUAAAGGGAAUUUCCAGUGGAGCGGUGAAAUGCGUAGAGAUUGGAAAGAACACCGAUGGCGAAGGCACUUUACUGGGCUAUUACUAACACUGAGAGACGAAAGCUAGGGUAGCAAAUGGG
rnacentral:rRNA from 1 species